rnacentral:rRNA from 1 species
GAUAAACGCUGGCGGCGUGCCUAACACAUGCAAGUCGAACGUCCUGAAUCGCAAGGUUCAGGGAGUGGCGGACGGGUGAGGAACACGUGGGCAAUCGACCCUGAGGUGAGGAAUACCACCGGGAAACCGGUGACAAUACCGCAUAGGUUUGGCAACAAACAAAGCUCCUUUCGGGGAGCGCCACAGGACGAGCCUGCGCCUGAUUAGCUAGCUGGUGGGGUCAUGGCCUACCAGGGCGACGAUCAGUCGCUGGUCUGAGAGGACGAUCAGCCACACU